GCUCCUCUGGCCACACAGUAAGGCCUGUGACUACCACGGUGACCUUUGUUUUAUCAGCCCUUGGCGGUGUUCCGGUCCUGCGCACUGCUGUGCCAUGCUGGCCCAGCUGCCAAGGCUUUCUUGUGCAGAUGGAAGGCAAAGGUCCCUUCCAGGAAGGCAGGGCAGGCGGAAAGAGCACAGGCCUUGGAUAGCCACAUGCUGGUUCCUGGGAUGGGCAGCAGCUUGUAGAGAUCCCUGCAGACCUGCUUGUGUCUUUCUCCCCAGCUUGGAAGCCAGGAAUAGAAGAGGUCAUCUGAACCACUUCAUCCUUCUCAUGGGUAAGGACCCACUGAAGCCUCUCCCCCAACAUUCACGCCAGUCUCUUGAUCUUAAAAACCCCAAGUCUCCAACAAGGCCAGUCCUGUCUGUAACCUUUGUUUUCUAUCAUCCAAUAACCACAUGUUCUGUACCUGUCUGGAGAAUGAGCUGUUAUAGCCAUGAGUGAAUGACUUCAUUAAACAUGUAGUAGGCAAAAGGCAAGUAACAGCAGGCGGCAGACAGAAGCAGCCAAUAGGCAGCAAAGAAUGGUCAAAUCAGGACUUUACUGAUUUGAUUGAGAGAGUGAAUGAAGAUAAAAAUCAUUAAAUCAGAGCUUACAACAGCCAGCGGAAGUUGACUGGAGAAACUGAGGCAGUUACCUGCUCUUUCCCACUGCAGGUGUUUCUGUACACUGUAAUAAACAAUGGUAGCCUCCUUGAAA